AGCAUAUCAAGAGGGCAGGCCAGGAAGCCAACGGCACUGGAGGCUCCCUCAGGUGAGGCUUGGACCCCACAGCCCAGCAGCAACAGAGCGGAAAAGGCUCUGGAAGCCUGUGUCAGCCCUCGGGUGGCACCCCCAUGACCGGAAAGGACUUGAAGCAGGCUUCUUCUGGGCAUCUAGGGGAAAAGCUAGCCUUCCUGCAAACUGGGCUGCCCCCUUCCUCCUAGGAGAUGGAUCUAGAAAGCCUGGAGGCUGCUAACCAGAGCCUGCAGGCUGACCUAAAGCUGGCAUUCAAGCGCAUUGGGGACCUGCAGGCCGCCAUCGAGGAUGAGAUGGAGAGUGAUGAGAAUGAGGACCUCAUCAACAGUGAGGGAGACUCGGAUGUGGACUCGGAGCUGGAGGACCGUGUCGAUGGGGUCAAGUCCUGGUUGUCAAAAAACAAGGGACCUUCCAAGGCAGCUUCUGAUGAUGGCAGCUUAAAGAGUUCCAGCCCCACUAACUACUGGAAGUCCCUUGCCCCUGAUCGGUCAGAUGAUGAGCACGACCCUCUCAACAACACCUCCAGACCCCGAUACU
rnacentral:sRNA from 1 species